GGGUGAUUAGUCUAGAGGUAUGAUUCUCGCUUAGGGUGCGAGAGGUCCCGGGUUCGAAUCCCGGAUCACCCC
rnacentral:tRNA from 1 species